rnacentral:rRNA from 1 species
GGGGGGGGGGGGGGGGGGGGGGGGGGGGGGGGGGGGGGGGGGGGGGGGGGUGGGGGGGUGGGGUGGGGGGGUGGGGAGGGGGGGGGGAGCGCGGGGGUAAGCGGCGGUGGGGUUUGGGGUAACUUCGGGGGGGUGGGGCUAAUACGGGGGAGGUGCUCAUGCUGCAUGGUGGUGGUUGGAAAGGUUCGGCGGUUGGGGAUGGACUCGCGGCUUAUCAGCUUGUUGGUGUGGUAGUGGCUUACCAAGGCCUUGACGGGUAGCCGGCCUGAGAGGGUGACCGGCCACAUUGGGACUGAGAUACGGCCCAGACUCCUACGGGAGGCAGCAGUUGGGAAUAUUGCACAAUGGGCGGAAGCCUGAUGCAGCAACGCCGCGUGCGGGAUGACGGCCUUCGGGUUGUAAACCGCUGUCGCCUGUGACGAAGCGUGAGUGACGGUAAUGGGUAAAGAAGCACCGGCUAACUACGUG